AGAGUUUGAUCCUGGCUCAGAACGAACGCUGGCGGCAGGCUUAACACAUGCAAGUCGAACGCCCCGCAAGGGGAGUGGCAGACGGGUGAGUAACGCGUGGGAAUCUACCUAUCUCUACGGAAUAACCCAGGGAAACUUGGACUAAUACCGUAUACGCCCUUUUGGGGAAAGAUUUAUCGGAGAUGGAUGAGCCCGCGUUGGAUUAGCUAGUUGGUGGGGUAAAGGCCUACCAAGGCGACGAUCCAUAGCUGGUCUGAGAGGAUGAUCAGCCACAUUGGGACUGAGACACGGCCCAAACUCCUACGGGAGGCAGCAGUGGGGAAUAUUGGACAAUGGGCGCAAGCCUGAUCCAGCCAUGCCGCGUGAGUGAUGAAGGCCCUAGGGUUGUAAAGCUCUUUCAACGGUGAAGAUAAUGACGGUAACCGUAGAAGAAGCCCCGGCUAACUUCGUGCCAGCAGCCGCGGUAAUAC
rnacentral:rRNA from 1 species